rnacentral:rRNA from 1 species
GAUGAACGCUGACAGAAUGCUUAACACAUGCAAGUCUACUUGAAGCUAACUUCGGUUAGUGGAUGGUGGCGGACGGGUGAGUAACGCGUAAAGAACUUGCCUCACAGUUUGGGACAACAUUUGGAAACGAAUGCUAAUACCGGAUAUUAUGAUAGUUCCGCAUGGAAGAAUCAUGAAAGCUAUAUGCGCUGUGAGAGAGCUUUGCGUCCCAUUAGCUAGUUGGAGAGGUAACGGCUCACCAAGGCGAUGAUGGGUAGCCGGCCUGAGAGGGUGAACGGCCACAAGGGGACUGAGACACGGCCCUUACUCCUACGGGAGGCAGCAGUGGGGAAUAUUGGACAAUGGACCAAAAGUCUGAUCCAGCAAUUCUGUGUGCACGAUGAAGUUUUUCGGAAUGUAAAGUGCUUUCAGUUGGGAAGAAGCAAGUGACGGUACCAACAGAAGAAGCGACGGCUAAAUACGUGCCAGCAGCCGCGGUAAUACGUAUGUCGCAAGCGUUAUCCGGAUUUAUUGGGCGUAAAGCGCGUCUAGGUGGUUAUAUAAGUCUGAUGUGAAAAUGCGGGGCUCAGCUCCGUAUUGCGUUGGAAACUGUAUGACUAGAGUACUGGAGAGGUAAGCGGAACUACAAGUGUAGAGGUGAAAUUCGUAGAUAUUUGUAGGAAUGCCGAUGGGGAAGCCAGCUUACUGGACAGAUACUGACGCUAAAGCGCGAAAGCGUGGGUAGCAAACAGG